AGAAACUUAGGUUAACUUUUAAACCAAGGGCCUUCAAAGCCCUAAACAGAGGAGCCUUCCCCUAGUUUCUG
rnacentral:tRNA from 1 species